GAUCAUGGCUCAGGACGAACGCUGGCGGCGCGCCUAACACAUGCAAGUCGAACGGAGCUUAAAGAGCUUGCUUUUUAAGCUUAGUGGCGAACGGGUGAGUAACGCGUGAGUAACCUGCCCUGGAGUGGGGGACAACAGUUGGAAACGACUGCUAAUACCGCAUAAGCCCACGGCCCGGCAUCGGGCUGCGGGAAAAGGAUUUAUUCGCUUCAGGAUGGACUCGCGUCCAAUUAGCUAGUUGGUGAGUAG
rnacentral:rRNA from 1 species